UGCGAGUACCUUCCUGGGAGGGGGCCAGUCCAUCGAGGGGGCGCCGAGCCCUGGGACGCCCGAGGAGGGGCGGAGGUGGAGGAACGCUUGACCUGGCUGACGACCCACACCCAUCCGGCGGCGCAGCACUUUCCUCCGCCCCCAGUUACACACGCACUCACGGGGGCGGGGGGGGGGGCUGGCACGAGAGGAGUUGGCUGUGUACAGCCCUGCGCAGCCACCGCAGCGGGAAGGACGCGCCAGCUAUCGGGUCAACGUGCCCCCAGAAUGAGGGGGAAAGUGUUUUGCUCCACGGGCCUUCCCCGCUCCUUCAUCCACGUUAGAAGAGCGUUAUGCUCUGCCUUUGUAUGUGAACUACCUUAAAUUUUCCCCGACCUCUAAUCGAGACCCUGGGGCUCGGGUCCUGGUGACCGUCGGGGAUCGAGGCUCCAAAGAUACGGAAAAGAAGGAACUCAGGUGCCCAGCUCCCUAUCUCUGCCCUGCUUUUUAGAAACAGACUAAAUCCCUAGGAGGUUUCGGGGAGUUCACGUCGACACUCACCAGCUAACCUUUGGGAACUUUUAAUUCGGGGUCGUGGUGUACGUAAAGGCUAGUCCCCGAAGGUGCGCGUAAUGAAAAGUGUUUCCACCCCAGUUGCGCCCCGAGAUGCUUUCCAAGUUUUGGUGUCCCGUUUGCUCUGAGCUUAUCCUGGAGAACUUCAGCUUGUUAUCUAGGCCACCCAUGACCGACGAAAGAUCUUCCCUCCCGGCUUCUCCCAAGGCCGCUUUAAACCAAAUAAAUUUAGCUAUUAAGGGCCAAGAUGUCUGACAAAAGAUCGAAAGGUGUCUAUCUGUGAUCGCUUAAAGAAGCGAAGGAGAAGCUGGUGGUUCUCUGAUCCCGAUAAAGGCAUUCCACACGGCGCCGGCCUCCCUCCCCGCGGCCUGGUUGCGUCCUGACACCCUGAGAUCUCCGCUUCGCUGGCCAGAUCUCCACCGGCCGAGCGAGACCUGCGUCCGUUGCCCUGGGAAUGUGGAGGUCCCCAGGCGACCCGGCCUGGGCGUGCCGGUCCCCGGGGUCCUGGGAGCCGUGGAACUCCAGGCCGGACGGGGCUGGAGUCCCAAAACCGACCCCCCGCACUUGGCAGAAAAACUAAACCGAGCUCAUUAGGACCUGAAUUACUAUCCCUUUUAUAUUAUUUUUUGAUGCUGAAUAAUUAAACUCGAGUCAAUCCAG